UACAGAGGGUGCGAGCGUUAUUCGGAAUUACUGGGCGUAAAGCGUGCGUAGGCGGUAGAGUAAGUCAGAUGUGAAAGCCCCGGGCUCAACCUGGGAAUUGCAUUUGAGACUGCUCUGCUCGGGUGCGGAAGAGGGAAGCGGAAUUUCCGGUGUAGCGGUGAAAUGCGUAGAUAUCGGAAGGAACACCAGUGGCGAAAGCGACUUCCUGGUCCGACACCGACGUUCAGGCACGAAAGCGUGGGGAGCAAACAGG
rnacentral:rRNA from 1 species